rnacentral:rRNA from 1 species
GACGAACGCUGGCGGCGUGCCUAAUACAUGCAAGUCGGGCGGACCGACCGAGGGCUUGCUCCUGUUUGGUCAGCGGCGGACGGGAGAGUAAAACGUGGGCAACCUGCCCGCAAGACCGGGAUAACUCCGGGAAACCGAAGCUAAUACCGGAUAACACCGGAGACCGCAUGGUCUUCGGAUGAAAGGCGGCCUUUGGGCUGUCACUUGCGGAUGGGCCCGCGGCGCGUUAGCGAGUGGGCGAGGUCAUGGCUGACCAAGGCGACGAUGCGUAGCCCGCCGGAUAGGGGGAGCGGCCACACUGGGACUGAGACACGGCCCAGAGGCCUACGGGAGGCAGCAGUAGGGAAUCGUCCGCAAUGGGCGAAAGCCUGACGGAGCGACGCGGCGUGCGCGAAGAAGGCCUUCGGGUCGGAAAGCACUGUUGUGGGGGACGAAGGAGCGCCGUGCGAAGAGGGCGGGGCAGUGACGGUACCUGACGAGAAAGCCCCGGCUAACUACGUG